rnacentral:lncRNA from 1 species
CCGCAGCCAGAUCACAGCUAAAACUUCUGCAGAAAGUUUUGACGGAACCAGGACAAUUCAGAAUGUUCAGUGCCAGUCUGCUCAAUUAGAAGAUGGUUAAACAAACCCUCUUAAUAACUGACUACUUUUGGGAAAGGCUGUAACUGUACUGCACUUCGUGUUCCUUAUGGAUUUCUUCAGCUUUUGCCUUAUGCUGUACACCCUAUACACUUCUCUCGUUUGUUUCCGACUAGUUGCUGCAUGUGAUUCCUUCUUAAAGCCCAGAGAUGUCAUACACCAUCAUCACUACAACUGUGGUAACUCCAGGGAACAAUGAAUUUCCUUGUAAAUGUUUAGUGUUCUUUUCAGGAAAGAUAAUGAUGCACACUGCAGGUGAAGGAGACUUGUCAGAGCUAGGAGUGCUGCUCACAUUAUGGACUGAGGAAGAGAGUACCAUAUAGAAAGACCAUUAUGGUCCCUCAGGUUCCAGAAGCAUCUGGAAGAAGACAGAAAGUGAAUUUUAAGCUACUGUGCCCUACACCCUUCUGUUUCAAAGCCCUUCAUACAUUGUCCUCCAACAGCGAUCUCCAGAGCAAUCCUGAUGUGGUGUUGUAAAGCUCUUUGUAAAGUAUGUCUUCUUUUGUCAAAAAGAAAAACCCAAUUAAAAAGUACUAAUGUACUGUGUGUACAUAAAGGGCU